GGGCCUAUAGCUCAGCAUGGUAGAGCAGGUGGCUCUUAACCACAAGGUCGUCGGUUCAAAUCCGACUAGGCCCA
rnacentral:tRNA from 1 species